rnacentral:rRNA from 1 species
CAGGCCUAACACAUGCAAGUCGAACGCACCGCAAGGUGAGUGGCAGACGGGUGAGUAACACGUGGGAACGUGCCCUUCGGUUCGGAAUAACUCAGGGAAACUUGAGCUAAUACCGGAUACGCCCUAACGGGGAAAGGUUUACUGCCGAAGGAUCGGCCCGCGUCUGAUUAGCUAGUUGGCGAGGUAACGGCUCACCAAGGCGACGAUCAGUAGCUGGUCUGAGAGGAUGAUCAGCCACACUGGGACUGAGACACGGCCCAGACUCCUACGGGAGGCAGCAGUGGGGAAUAUUGGACAAUGGGCGAAAGCCUGAUCCAGCCAUGCCGCGUGAGUGAUGAAGGCCUUAGGGUUGUAAAGCUCUUUCGACGGGGACGAUAAUGACGGUACCCGUAGAAGAAGCCCCGGCUAACUUCGUGCCAGCAGCCGCGGUAAU